GACACACAUUAGUGUGUGCGUGUCGACUGGAACUAGAGAAAGAAGGGGGAAAACCCCUUUCCAACACAAAAUCAGAAAAUUGAAGGAGAAUCAAGGCUUGAUUGUAUGCAUGAACACAAAUUCUCCAUCAUCAAAGAGUUCUUAACAUAAGGUGUGAAAGGAGAAGGCUUGGGUAACAAAAAUGCACAAGACGUUCAAGAUCGAGGUAAAACCCCAAUUUAAAUGGCCAUGCUACACUCGGAACUAACACACUCCAUAUCGCCCUCAAUGCACUUCCGAACUUAACUUGUGUAAAUGGGUUAAAAUGUUUUGGAUAUUAUGUAGUUAAUGUUUAGUUGUCAAAAAUUAUCUUAAAACUUGUGUUUCAUAGUUUUGUAAAGUAAUGGAAGGUUUCCAACUAGAAUUUAAAUAGAUGUUUGUAACUUUGGUUCCAUUUUUCAAGUAAAGUGCAAAAGUUUAAAUUGGUCGUAAA